rnacentral:rRNA from 1 species
CGGCGUGCUUAACACAUGCAAGUCGAACGAAGCACUUUAAACAAUCUUUCGGGUGCGUUUUAUGUGACUUAGUGGCGGACGGGUGAGUAACGCGUGGGUAACCUGCCUCAUGCAGGGGGAUAACAGUUAGAAAUGACUGCUAAUACCGCAUAAGCGCACAGUACCGCAUGGUACAGUGUGAAAAAGAUUUAUCAGCAUGAGAUGGACCCGCGUCUGAUUAGCUAGUUGGUGAGGUAACGGCUCACCAAGGCGACGAUCAGUAGCCGACCUGAGAGGGUGACCGGCCACAUUGGGACUGAGACACGGCCCAAACUCCUACGGGAGGCAGCAGUGGGGAAUAUUGCACAAUGGGCGAAAGCCUGAUGCAGCGACGCCGCGUGAGUGAAGAAGUAUUUCGGUAUGUAAAGCUCUAUCAGCAGGGAAGAAAAUGACGGUACCUGACUAAGAAGCACCGGCUAAAUACGUG